rnacentral:rRNA from 1 species
AGAGUUUGAUCAUGGCUCAGGACGAACGCUGGCGGCGUGCUUAACACAUGCAAGUCGAACGAUGAACCGCUUCGGCGGGGAUUAGUGGCGAACGGGUGAGUAACACGUGGGCAAUCUGCCCUUCACUCCGGGACAAGCCCUGGAAACGGGGUCUAAUACCGGAUAUCACUCCCGCAGGCAUCUGCGGGGGUUGAAAGCUCCGGCGGUGAAGGAUGAGCCCGCGGCCUAUCAGCUGGUUGGUGAGGUAACGGCUCACCAAGGCGACGACGGGUAGCCGGCCUGAGAGGGCGACCGGCCACACUGGGACUGAGACACGGCCCAGACUCCUACGGGAGGCAGCAGUGGGGAAUAUUGCACAAUGGGCGCAAGCCUGAUGCAGCGACGCCGCGUGAGGGAUGACGGCCUUCGGGUUGUAAACCUCUUUCAGCAGGGAAGAAGCGCAAGUGACGGUACCUGCAGAAGAAGCGCCGGCUAACUACGUGCCAGCAGCCGCGGUAAUACGUAGGGCGCAAGCGUUGUCCGGAAUUAUUGGGCGUAAAGAGCUCGUAGGCGGCUUGUCACGUCGGGUGUGAAAGCCCGGGGCUUAACCCCGGGUCUGCAUUCGAUACGGGCUGGCUAGAGUGUGGUAGGGGAGAUCGGAAUUCCUGGUGUAGCGGUGAAAUGCGCAGAUAUCAGGAGGAACACCGGUGGCGAAGGCGGAUCUCUGGGCCAUUACUGACGCUGAGGAGCGAAAGCGUGGGGAGCGAACAGGAUUAGAUACCCUGGUAGUCCACGCCGUAAACGGUGGGAACUAGGUGUUGGCGACAUUCCACGUCGUCGGUGCCGCAGCUAACGCAUUAAGUUCCCCGCCUGGGGAGUACGGCCGCAAGGCUAAAACUCAAAGGAAUUGACGG